GGUGAACGCUGGCGGCGUGCCUAAGACAUGCAAGUCGAGCGGGGCAGGUUUAUACCUGUUCAGCGGCGGACGGGUGAGUAACGCGUGGGUGACCUACCCGGAAGAGGCGGACAACCUGGGGAAACCCAGGCUAAUCCGCCAUGUGGUCCUGUCCUGUGUGGCAGGACUAAAGGCGCGACCCGCUUCCGGAUGGGCCCGCGUCCCAUCAGCUAGUUGGUGAGGUAAAGGCCCACCAAGGCGACGACGGAUAGCCGGUCUGAGAGGAUGGCCGGCCACAGGGGCACGGAACAACGGGCCCCACUCCUACGGGAGGCAGCAGUUAGGAAUCUUACGCAAUGGACGGAAGUCUGACGGAGAGACGCCACGUGGAGGAGGAAGGCCUUCGGGGUGUAAACUCCUGAACUGGGGACGAAAGACCCGUGUAGGGGGAGGAGGGUACCCAGGUAAUAGCGCCGGCUAACUCCGUG
rnacentral:rRNA from 1 species